rnacentral:rRNA from 1 species
CCUACGGGAGGCAGCAGUGGGGAAUAUUGGGCAAUGGGCGCAAGCCUGACCCAGCAACGCCGCGUGAAGGAAGAAGGCUUUCGGGUUGUAAACUUCUUUUGUCAGGGACGAAGCAAGUGACGGUACCUGACGAAUAAGCCACGGCUAACUACGUGCCAGCAGCCGUGGUAAUACGUAGGUGGCAAGCUUUAUCCGGAUUUAUUGGGUGUAAAGGGCGUGUAGGCGGGAAUGCAAGUCAGAUGUGAAAACUAUGGGCUCAACCCAUAGCCUGCAUUUGAAACUGUAUUUCUUGAGUGCUGGAGAGGCAAUCGGAAUUCCGUGUGUAGCGGUGAAAUGCGUAGAUAUACGGAGGAACACCAGUGGCGAAGGCGGAUUGCUGGACAGUAACUGACGCUGAGGCGCGAAAGCGUGGGGAGCAAAUAGGAUUAGAUACCCUUGUAGUC